GUAUUUUUUAGAUCACUCCCAGUUUUGGAAGGAGAGAGUGUCUAGUAAUAGCCAAUCCUGAAAACUGCACGUCGCCGAGUCUAGAAGUAUCGCGUGACCGAUAACUUUAUUAUAGCGUGACGAGAUAGAACGGAAAAGCCUCGCUUCUAUACCGAAAGUGUUAUCAUAUUGGCAAUGCCCGGAAGUCAAGCGAGUCAACAAUCAGCGACCAAACCGCUUGGAAAAUCAAAGUUUCUCGCGAAUUUAGCCAACAAAUUUUGGUUAACGUGUGAUGGAAGAAUAAUUAAACGGGCUCAGUCCAGAGUUCUAUAAUAUCUGCUACAACUGAUUUGAGUCAAAUCGCAACAUAAGUGGAAUUGAAGAGCUAUAAAGCUUGGAAACCAUCUAUACAUAAGUGCUGGGAUAACCGAUCGAUGCGACAUUUUGAGACAUUUGAGUAACAUCUGAGCGGCCACUUUAUAAUGUCCUCUAGGAGCUGGGUCAGAUGUUUUGUGUCUGCAACGUUUCUGUGCACCUGCAUGAAAUACCAAGGAACACACGGAAAAUGUAACUGUGUUUUCUCUUUGGGCAGCAACACUUACAACAUCUCGUCUCUAAUAAGUACAAAUGGUUCACGGUUAGUAAAGCGCUUAGAGUAUAGAUUAUAAUCCAUCAAAUAUUUUCGCUCGUCGGCGACUGGUCUAAACGCUUCACGUGACUGAAUAAGCCCCAGCUAAAACUGGGGAACAUCCGAGUGAUAUUCCCCAAUUUUCAAAACUGCGCG